GAUGAAGAACGUAGCGAAAUGCGAUAAGUAAUGUGAAUUGCAGAAUUCAGUGAAUCAUCGAAUCUUUGAACGCACAUUGCGCCCGCCAGUAUUCUGGCGGGCAUGCCUGUUCGAGCGUCAUUUCAACCCUCAGGGCCCUUUUGGACCUAGCGUUGGGGCUCGGCCGCUACCCUGCGGCCGUCCCCGAAAGAUAGUGGCGGUCUCGCUGUAGCCUCCUCUGCGUAGUAGUUACAUCUCGCACUGGAACGCGGCGCGGCCAUGCCGUUAAACACCCCACUUCUCAAGGUUGACCUCGGAUCAGGUAGGAAUACCCGCUGAACUUAAGCAUAUCAAUAAGCGGAGGA
rnacentral:misc_RNA from 1 species